CCUGAGUAUAGUGGUGCAUGUCUGUAAUCCCAGCUAUUUGGGAAGCUGAAGCAGGGUGAUCACUUGGGCCCAGGAGUUCAAGGCUGUAGUGUGCUAUGAUUGCACCUGUGAAUAGCCACUGCAUUCCAGCCUGGGCAACAUAGUGAGACCCUGUCUCUU
rnacentral:SRP_RNA from 1 species